GAUGAACGCUGGCGGCGUGCUUAAUACAUGCAAGUCGAACGGAGGAUGUAGCAAUACAUUCUUAGUGGCGAACGGGUGAGUAACACGUGGGUGACCUGCCCGGAAGAUGGGGAUAACAGCUCGAAAGGGCUGCUAAUACCCGAUGAGAUCCCAGGGAUUAGAAAACUGGGAUGAAAGGCGAAAGCCGCUUCCGGAGGGGCCUGCGACCCAUCAGCUAGUUGGUAAGGUAAAAGCUUACCAAGGCGAAGACGGGUAGGGGACCUGAGAGGGUGACCCCCCACACUGGCACUGAAACACGGGCCAGACACCUACGGGUGGCAG
rnacentral:rRNA from 1 species